rnacentral:rRNA from 1 species
GAGUUUGAUCCUGGCUCAGAACGAACGCUGGCGGCGUGCCUAACACAUGCAAGUCGAACGUGAUCCAGAGCUUGCUCUGGUGAAAGUGGCGCACGGGUGAGUAACGCGUGGAUAACCUACCCUGGUAUCCGGGAUAACAUUCCGAAAGGGGUGCUAAUACCGGAUAAGCCCACGGGCUCUUUGGAGCUUGCGGGAAAAGGUGGCCUCUAUUUAUAAGCUACUGUAUCAGGAUGGGUCCGCGUACCAUUAGCUAGUUGGCGGUGUAACGGACCACCAAGGCGACGAUGGUUAGCUGGUCUGAGAGGAUGAUCAGCCACACUGGAACUGAGACACGGUCCAGACUCCUACGGGAGGCAGCAGUGGGGAAUUUUGCGCAAGGGGGGAAACCCUGACGCAGCAACGCCGCGUGAGUGAUGAAGGCCUUUGGGUCGUAAAGCUCUGUCAGAGGGGAAGAAAUGAUAUAGUGCUAAUACCACUUUAUCUUGACGGUACCCUCAAAGGAAGCACCGGCUAACUCCGUGCCAGCAGCCGCGGUAAUAC